CGGGCGUUACGAGGAAAGCAAGCCUGUCUAUUCUGAGUCAGGGAACACGGAUGAAAACCCACAAAUAACGUAUUGCAGGUGCAAAUUUUUUUGACCCACUAUCAUCCUUGAACGUUCGACUCCGUGCACUCCUCCCCUGAUGGCGCGACGAUCUGCUGACCUCUGUCGCCUGAUUCACUUCGACCCCCUCCACAAAGCCUCCUUCCCUUCAGUCCUCCGAUCUCAGUGCCAUCUGCACCUCCGCACCAAAGCCGCUCGCCGCCGCCCCGAUGACGACCCCGACGAUCGGCACAGGCGGAACGACGCCGGAGGCGGUGGCGAACCUUGGGACCGCAGCUUCCGCCUCGACAAGGGCCGCGGCCAGUACCUCCUCACCAACCCCCGCGUCCUCGACACCAUCGCCCGAGUCGCCGGACUCCGCCCCUCCGACACCGUUCUCGAGAUUGGCCCCGGCACCGGCAAUCUCACCGCCCGGCUCCUCCAGUCUGCCCGCAGAGUAGUCGCUGUAGAGAUCGAUCCACGCAUGGUCGAUUCUGUCCUCGCUCGCGCGUCUCGCCUCGGCGUCGACGAUCGACUUACGGUAAUCACUGGCGACGCGCUGAAGACGGAGUUCCCAGAGUUCGACAUCUGCGUCGCUAACAUACCUUACGGGAUCUCGUCACCUCUUAUCGCGAAGCUUCUCUUCAGUACGAGCAGGCCAUCCAGCUUCAGGAGCGCGGUGCUCUUGCUCCAAAAGGAGUUCGCCCGGCGGCUCCUGGCCGUGCCAGGUGACUCGGAGUUCAACCGGUUGGCUGCAAACGUGAGACUGGUGGCCACAGUGGAGCUGCUGAUGGACGUGAGCAAGAAGGACUUCGUGCCUUGCCCAAAGGUGGACUCUACGCUGGUGCGUCUCCAGCCCAGGACUGAUGUUCCUGAGGUUGAUUUGGAUGAAUGGUUGGCUUUCUCCCGCACAUGCUUCAGCAACAAGAACAAGACCCUGGGUGCCAUCUUUAAGCAGAAGAAGAGGAUCGCCGAAUUACUUUGGAGGUCCAAGUCUGAAGGAAGAUCUACCAAAGUUUUCAUGGAAGAGGAGCAGAAUGAUAAUGGAGCCGAGGAGAAUGAUGAUGACAAUCGUGAUGAUGAUGAUCUUUUGGAGCAGAAUGCAUCUGAAGUAAGUUCUUUUAAGGAGAAGGCUGUUGGGAUAUUGAAGUCUGGGGGCUUUGAAGGGAAGAGACCUUCCAAAUUAUCCAACGAAGAAUUAUUGCAUCUGCUACAGCUUUUUAAUCAAAAUGGUGUUCAGUUUCGAUAGCUCAAGUUGAACUUAUUUGGUCCCAUUGUGUUUGAUUGCAAACAAAAGCAAUUCCCAGAGCAGCCGUCUGCUCUAUUUGUUGAUAGAUCUUGUGAUAUAACCAGCAUUAUAAGCUCCAGACUACCUGAUUACUUGUACUCACAUGGGUUACAAAGAGUCAACAGAAAGGUUUUGUGAGCUCUGACUUAUGCCACUGAUAUGAUUCAAGGUGUUGCUUGUUGCUGGGAAAAUGAAAUGAAUAUUCUCCAAUUUAUUGGAAGUCUUUCUUCCGAGGAUUCAGCAAAGCUCAAUGUGAAGUACUCUGUUUCUCUUCUAUCCACAACCCUAGGUGAAGGCAAUCUUUAAACUGCAGAUACCAUCAUGUUAUACGUCCGGAACAACUGACAAGCCUACUGCCUUUUCUGUUAUGCUAGAAGCUGAUGCAGAACUUUUGACAUUUGAUGUCUCUCUAAUAUGUGAUCCUAAGCUUGUUGUUGCUGAAGUACCAAUAUUUAGAUCAUCGCUCAGUUGACUGCAGAGAUGUACAUAUCUAUUUCACUUUCCAUGAUCAAAUUGCAAACGGAUGUUGGAGUAUGACUCAUCAAUUAAGAUGAACCUAUCCAGUCUUUUCCACAAUGGCCUGUUGUGCAUUAACAUUGGGUUUGACUUGGUAUCAGAAGUCCAUCCUUUCUCUUCAAGUCUCAGCUCACUCCAAGCAUCAAGCCAACCAUCGUGCAGAGGGAAAGGGCCAUUUAACUAUUAAUCUGAGUUCAUAUCACAUUAUCACCACCAAAUAUAACAUUGGGUGCAUAUGAUAGAAGAUUAAGAGCCAUUUUAGCUUGUGUUAGACCCUCCAUACUGUGCAUAAUUGGUGGUAUUGGGCUCUCCAGAUGGCUAGUUGCAAGUUGCAACUGUUAGAUUCUGACCCAUGCCAAAUCAAUCUCAGCUGCUCAAAGCUCUCUUCCCAUGGAGGAGUUUGGAAAGCGACCACAAGAGAACCUUUUGCCAGGUGACUUGGUCAACUACAACAGGUUAACAAUUUUUAGUUUUAGCAUUAGCGUUAGCAAUAAUGUUAGCACAUUGUCAAUCAAACAUAAUUAGUUUGCUAUUAAGCUCACAGUUCAACUUUACCCUACAUAUUUUAUUUUAUGCCAGACUGUUACAAAAAAAAAGCAAAGGAACCAAAAGGCUAAGCCUACUUUCUGGUGGUUGCUUGUAGAUGUUUUUGUUUAAAUCUUGAUCCCUGCAUGCAACGUAGGAGCUUAGAUAUUCAUGAUCACCCUGUAGAUUCAUCACAAAAAGAUACAGCAGGAAUGUAGCAUAUAUAUAAACCCGACAAGGAAUGUAUCUGUUCAUAUAAAUGUGAUCAGUUGAAUGGAUGAUCUACUUAUGCAAUGAAAGAGAAAAGAUGGAUCCAAAAUUUUGCAACUGAUUACCUUGAGGCACAAAUGUCAAACAGUAUAAUAUGAUAUAUUUUAACAAAUUAAAGAAAACAACAAGGAUUCAAUGACUUAACAACACACAUGCACACAUAUUCCAGAUAUGAGUAUAUCAGCAUGCAGAAGCAUCUUAUGUUUGCUACCUCUGAUGAAACUGAACAUUGAUAUGCUUUCCACCAGGAUGAGCUCUGAGAGAUGUCAUAGAUAUUUUGUGAGACUUCUUGAAUUAGGUUUAUCACAGUUGAGAAUAGGUGUUAAGUAGAUGUUGUGUUAAUGCAGAAGCUUUAAGACUUGCAGGAGUUGGUGAUACCUACAUCUGGAAGAUGUUGCAGUAUCAGGCGCCUAAUUGCUUUCAUUCUGUCAUGCAGUUCCAGUUCUUCAUUGAACCAGACGUUGUAAGUAAUGACUUUUACUAUUCCGGCACUAAGAUCUUGGCUUUCCACUGUCACAAGUAACAUCAUGUUUACUUAUUUAGAAAGAUGUAGAUGAUAGUGAUUGUACUCUUGGUUUGUUCACUUGCAAACUUGAUUUCAUAAUCAGAACUUUAGUAAGAGAAAUUUUACUGUGAGAAAUUUUGGAA